AACAACAUGGUGAUCCGAAAUCUGAACGUCAAUUUUCGUGAUUAUUUCAUGACGAAGAUCAUCACAUCAAUGAAUCAAAUAAUACGGACAUGCCUUUGGUAUUAGCAGGUGAGAAUACCAUAUGCAACAAUACUUUCAUCUGUGAAUACCCACUUUCUAAGCCCACCAUGAACUACGAAGGUCAAUUAAUAUGUAAGGACACCAAUGAACAGACACUUUCCAAUUAUCCUAUAUCAUAUACAUGGGUGGUCAAACUCACUGGAUGGUUUAUCAACACUCAACACGAACAGCCUUGCGCCAGGAAUUUUGCCCUGAAGUAACAUUGCAGUCUAUUGUCUCCUUUCUUUUUACAACCCUGGCAGCCAUGCAGGAUAGAAGCUGAUCACUUGUACUUGACAGCAAAUAAUAAUGUCUUGGACAAGUCAAAGAAUUUCCUCCAGUCUUACAGAGAAAUGACAGUUGAUAAAAGAAUGGUGGACACAAAGUAAAAUUGCUCUUCAACAUUUUGUUGAAGAUUUCAGUCUGAUUUGGAAUUCAUCUUGCAAUAUUUCUGGAUUUGUAUAUUUGGAUAUGAGCGUCAAAUUUUCAACUUAUUGACUAAACAGUUUUGCAUUAAAUAUUGCCAAUGCUAUCUAUUAUUAUUAUUUCCUUCCAAGAUAACAUGUCAAGUCUUUAUUGUACCCCUUUAGCUCUGUUA